AAAAGGCAUUCCUACCCAAUUUGACCCUGCCCUCCUGCCAGCCAGGCCAGAGGGGAGAGCCGGUUGGUUUGGGUUCGGUCAGAGUCCGGUCGGAACCUCUUCCCCUCCCCCCCCCACCCCGCGCAACCCCCACGCGCCGGACCCCACGCGCCACUAUAUGUCGCGUCCCCUCAGCGUCCCUUCCCUUCCCUUCCCUUCCCUUCUUCUCCCCCAAUUCCCAACCUUCGCGUCCGUCGCUUUCGCCCAUCCGCUUUCCCUCUCUUUUUACUUCACUCCCCCCCUCCCCCACUCGGCCACUCGCUCACUCGGUCGCUCGGCUCGGUGACUCGGUCCCUCGCCUCCGCCGCCGUCGAUCGGAGCGCACUAAGGCGAGCUCCCGCCUCCCCCGCGGCGGCGAUUCGGGCGUCGCUUUCCUUCCUUCGCGAGGUGUGAUUGUAUCGGGAGCGGGUUGGUAGGGCCCCCCAC
rnacentral:lncRNA from 1 species